GAGGAUGUAGCUCAGUGGUAGAGUGCUCGCUUCGCAUGUGAGAGGCCAUGGGUUCAAAUCCCAUCAUCUCCA